rnacentral:lncRNA from 1 species
UAGCAGUAAGAAGGCGUCAUUGAUUUUCACAGUUGAGGAAAAUAAAUAUGUGGCUACAUGCAAAAAUAUAAGGAUUUGCCUUUCUUUUACAGGGCAAUGGGUGCAAAAAUUAAAAUAACAUAUUAGUGCAACUGCAAAUUCAAUGACUUGUCACUCAACACCAGAAAUUCUAAAACUUAAGCAGUCAUACGCGAAUCAUGAAUGCAAAGCUUCUCUUUGCUCUGAAACUGUUGCGAUGAAUAUUGAACUCGGGGGCAUACACGUACUUGCACUAGUAGAAAAUGGGGCAAUGGUCCAGGCCGGCUCAGCCCAUUAGUCUCGGUUCAGUCUAGAACCGGGACCAAUGGUGGCAUUGGACCCGGUUCGUGAGCCCCGGGGGCCGGCCGAGCCACGUGGGCCAUUGGUCCCGGUUCGUCUGGACCUUUUGGUCCCGGUUGGUGGGACGAAGCGGGACCAAUGGGCCUCGUUCCUGGCCCACCACCAUUGGCCCCGGUUGGUGGGAUGAACCGGGACUAAAGGCAGCCCAUUAGUCCCGGUUGGUGGCACGAACCGGGACUAAAGGGGUGGUCCUCGUUGCGGUCAGAGUUUAGUCCCACCUCGCCAACCGAAGGGCGCUCACACCCGUUUAUAAGCCCCUCCUUCUCUGCCUUGUUGAGCUCCUCUCAAAGUGAAAAUAGAUGCCCUUAUACAGGGAAUUUGACCUAAAUUCAUAUUGAAUUUCUCUGAAGUUAGUAGAAAUUUAUUAUGAAUUUAGGUCUAAUUUUCUCUAUAAGCGCAUCUAUGCUCAUUUUUUUAGUAAAGUUAAUCACAACUAUUUUUUCUUCUAUUUAUUUCUGAGUAGUUUUUUAUAUAGUUUUUUCUCUUUUCUGCUAUAUUUAUUUUUUUCUAUUUAUUUCUGAGUUGUAAUAAGUCUUUAAAAAUAAAAAAGAGGCAUAAUGCUCGUUAAUUAGCUUCAAGCCUUUCGGAAUAGUGUAAACUACACUGCACAUAGCUCCGUGCAGUCUACCAUAUUCCUCAAGGCUUAAAGCUAAGCAACGUCAGGUUAGCAUUGAGCCUCUUCUGCAUGGUCUCUGCACUCGGGGCUUAUAAAUCGCUGCGAGUGCCUCUCGCUUGUCGAGGUGGGACUAAAAAACAGCUGCAGAAAGAAUCAACUAAAAAGCUCUUUUACCGGUUCAUGGCACGAACCGGUACUAAAAGGUGCUCGUGGGGCACCGGCCUUAAAACCUGUACCAAAUAAAAUGCCUUUGUAACAGCCUUAGAACUGGUACCGGAGGAAUCAACUAAAAAGCUUUUAUGAAGCUCUAGUAUUAUUGAAACUAAAAUUAUAUAGAAUUUUGUUACAAACUUUAAUAGCAAAAAGGAUUAUAAUAAAAGAAAAUAAAUAAGUAAUUAGAAUUCUGUUCAAAACAUUAAAAGCAAAAAGAAUUAUCAUAAAAGAAAAUAAAUAAGUAAUUAGAAUUCUGUUCAAAACAUUGAAAACAAAAAGAAUUAUCAUAAAAGAACAUAAAUAAGUAAUUAGAAUUUUGUUACAAACUUUAAUAGCAAAAAAAUUUAUCAUACAAGAAAAUAAAUAAGUAAUUAGAAAGAUUAUAAUUAUCUGAGCUAAAAUAAAAAAAAUAAAAAAAAGCAAAAAUCAAAAGAAAAUAAAUAAUUCAAAGCAAAAAAUAAAAUAAAAAAAGUGCCACCUAAAGGGCUACCAUGGCCUGAAUACGACUAGAAACCCAACAAUGGGCCAGAAUUCAGGCCCGCAAUAGGCCCAAUAGGCCCACAGGCACAUAUAGUGAGUUUAGGCCCGUAAGCCUGCAUUUGAGAGGAGCUCGAGAGGGCAGCGGGACUGGGGCUUAUAAACCACCCUCGAGCUCCGUCAGCUAGUGAGGUGGGACUAAACUUUCGUGCCGCGACGCGGGCAACACAGGGCCUUUAGUCCCGGUUGGUGCCACCAACCGGAACUAAAGGGGUGCAUCGGUCCCUGUUCGUGGCACCAACCGGGACCAAUGCCCCCCAUUAGUCCNNNNNNNNNNNNNNNNNNNNNNNNNNNNNNNNNNNNNNNNNNNNNNNNNNNNNNNNNNNNNNNNNNNNNNNNNNNNNNNNNNNNNNNNNNNNNNNNNNNNNNNNNNNNNNNNNNNNNNNNNNNNNNNNNNNNNNNNNNNNNNNNNNNNNNNNNNNNNNNNNNNNNNNNNNNNNNNNNNNNNNNNNNNNNNNNNNNNNNNNNNNNNNNNNNNNNNNNNNNNNNNNNNNNNNNNNNNNNNNNNNNNNNNNNNNNNNNNNNNNNNNNNNNNNNNNNNNNNNNNNNNNNNNNNNNNNNNNNNNNNNNNNNNNNNNNNNNNNNNNNNNNNNNNNNNNNNNNNNNNNNNNNNNNNNNNNNNNNNNNNNNNNNNNNNNNNNNNNNNNNNNNNNNNNNNNNNNNNNNNNNNNNNNNNNNNNNNNNNNNNNNNNNNNNNNNNNNNNNNNNNNNNNNNNNNNNNNNNNNNNNNNNNNNNNNNNNNNNNNNNNNNNNNNNNNNNNNNNNNNNNNNNNNNNNNNNNNNNNNNNNNNNNNNNNNNNNNNNNNNNNNNNNNNNNNNNNNNNNNNNNNNNNNNNNNNNNNNNNNNNNNNNNNNNAGAUAUUUUUAUGAUUUUUUCUGUUGUAGUUUAGAUGUCAAUUUUUUUAUGAUUUUUUUCUGUUCAUAGAAUUUUUAUGAUUUUUUUCUGUUCUAAUAUUGUUCAUAGAAUUUUAAUGAUUUUUUUGUUCAUAGUAUUUUCUUUGUCAAUUUAUUAUGUAUGUAUAGGAAAUUUGUUAGAAAAAUAAUAGAACUAUAGUUAAACUAGUUUAUUUUUAGUAAGUAGUAUUUUAUUUUAUUUAUAGUAAGUGCUUCAUAUAUAGUUGAAUUAGCUAGUUGAUUUAAUAAACCAAUUUAUUUUACUAUAUAUAGAAGUAGUUUAUUUUUAAUAAGUACUACUUUAUUUAUUUAUAGUAAGUGCUUAGUAGUUGAACUACUUGAUUUAAUUAAUAAAACUACUUUAUUUAACUAUAUAUAGAAGUAUUUCCGGCAUCGACAUCGACGAUGCCUAUCCCGCAUCCUCGUCGUCGUCGACUCGGCGGUGGUGGAGGCCUGCUUGAUCAGGGCCAUGUUCGGGACUGGGCUCCGCCGGGCUGGUAUUGGGAGGUGCUACCUUCUGGGGGACGUAGGUUGGUGAGGAGGCAGCCCGUUGUUGACCCGAUCCUUGUUUGAUGGCGGUCGCGUGGGCCAGUGACGGUGCCGAGGCUUCCGGACACCGCGGAGGUGGUACGUCACCGUGUCAGCGAGGAGGACAAGCACGUCCGUCGCUACAUGGUUGCGUUGGAGGGCAGGUUCGACAAUACCUGACAGAUUCUUCAGGGAUCUCACUGGAGAUAUGACCCUGUGAUCGUUCCUUAUCUUUGGGUGUCCACUGCCCGCGACGAUACCCGUCGGGCGCUACGGUUCUAGCUGUAUUAAUUAGCGAUGCUAUAUGUAUGAUAGUAUUCGAGGAGUAUUCGACGAUGUACGAACACAAGAGAUGAUGUACUUUUGGUUAUAAUUGAAUGCAUGCUAAUUCGAAUACUACUUUAUUUUACGAUUUGGUUUUGCUUAUUGAAUGCUCAUAUUGGAAAAGUACUCCUACUUUGAAUGCUAAAAUUGAAGAGCACUCUAUGCAGAAAUCUAGGAGCCCCCUCCAUCAUUCACGCCGUCGUGGGGGUAGCUUCUCCUUCAUUCCCGUGUGCUAGACAAUUUGUUGUAAUAAUGCACUCGGGAAUGAAAGGAGGAGCUACGUACCAUCACCGAUAGUCAACCCGUGAUUAAUAAUAAUGAUCAAAUUUAGGUUUUUAGUACAUAUAUUUAAUAUUUGAAUUAUGAACUUAGGCCGGAAAUGUCGUACUUGGACGAUGAAAACCGCCCGGGGAGUGCGACUGGUGCCACGACGACCGAGGUAUGUGCGACAUGUUCAUUGAGCUGGACGAAGAUCGACGCUUCAGCAUUAAGCUCGAGGAGACCUUCGAUGUUCAUAUGGUACACAACGACGACAAUAGUUUUUUUCGUAAUUAAGCACGACUUCAACUAUUUUAAUGUGUAUUUUUUAUCUUUUCCAAUUCGACUAGCUUAUCCUAUGCUAUGCAAGACGCUAUGUCUUGGAGAGGAUGGGUUUUGAAGACAGUGAAAGUAUGGAAACCAAAAAAAUUCUCCUAAGGACCCAUCAUGGUGUGGAUUUUCAAGUAAAGAUGUACAAUGCUGAGAGUGUAACCCGUUUUGGUUGCAAAAAUUGAGAAGCACUUUGCAAGAUGUAUGGUUUUAAUGAGGGUAUGCUUGUCACCAUGGAUCUUGGUGAUCCUACAAUCCAGCAAGACAAUAUGGGCAUUUGGGUCCUUGUGGAUACACCUCCAAUUCUUCCCCCAUGUGAGCUUAACAUAGUUAUUAAGUAAUUUAUAUUGUUUAUUUCAAAAUAGUUGACAACUUGUUUCCAUUGACAGCUUAUUUUCAUUCUAAUGAGCUUAACAUAGUGGCACAUAUUGACCAUAAUGUUGAGGAGUUCGAUUGUAGACAAAACCCACUACACUGAUGGCUCCGAAUUAAUUUAUAAGGAGAAAAAUCAUCUAAUCGCAUUUUGUACUGAUCUUGAGAAUUACAAUGUCUACAAUCGAACUCCUCAACAUUAUGGUCAAUACGUGCCACUAGUGCACGUGUUGAACUACGGUAACUACCAUGGAGAUACCCUGGUAAGAUUUUUUACUAUUACGACAUCCCUGCAUCUUUUUAAAUACUUCUAAAACUAGUACAUGAUUGCUAACUACGAAGUUAUUACUAUGUUUUUCAACAGAUAAACCCGAAUGAUUGUGUGCCUCAUCUGAUGUAUACGCACGGUCCCCUUGUUGUUUUGAACAUACAACCAGGUCGUCCUACGAAUCUCAAUUGUCCAUACCGGAUUUUUAAAAGAAAUGGAGACAUGACAAUCAAAGAAUGAAAAAAAUGUAUGGAUAGUCGUAAGGAGCUUCUUGCAAGCAAAAGGAGGCGAAGCGCAAGAAUUGGAGACAGGAUGAUCUCCAUUCUUCAUAAUGGAGAGUCAGGGUCUAUAUUAUUUUAUGCUAUUUUACCUUAAGGGUGUUUAGGUCCUACCUGAUACUGAUGACCAUGUGCUAAGAACAAUUAUGUAGGAUUGGGUUCGAUGACUAUGAGAAGGAUGAUCGUAUGACUUUUUAUUAAUAACGAGUAGAAGUUGUAUGAUGAUGCAUGAUUAGUAGGACUUGUUAUUAUAUAUGAUGAUGUAUGAUGCGAGCAUGCAUGAGUUAUUAUAUAUCAGCGGGUGAAAUGAACAUACCAGUAUAAGAGAGGACACUUCUCUCUAUUAGCUAGUUAAUAACAACCUAAAAUUAACCCCCCAAACCCCUAAACCAACCACUGUUUAAAAAAAACCUUAACUGCUGACACGUGGAAGCCUUUUGGUCCCGGUUCAUGUCACCAACCGGGACCAAAGGCCCCCUUGUCUGGGCUGCUCGCAGUGGCCACGUGGAGGCCCAUCUGUCCCGGUUCGUGUUAGAAUCGGGACUAAAGGGUGGAGGCAUUAGUCACGACCCUUUAGUCCCGGUUCAAGAACCGGGACUAAAGGCCCUUACGAACCGGGACUGAUGCCCCCUUUUCUACUAGUGUUGUCCCCACAGAAAAUUUAAUUUCAAAGUUUUGACAUACGCCCUGUCUAUGACACGUGGGUCCAAACCCACAAUCAUAGACAUGGGCAAUGUGUUUUACUUUGCAGGGGAUAUCCCAUGGAAAGAAGAAACAUUGCAUAUCAUAGCACCUUUGUUCUUCGGAAUAAACAUAAUAUUUUUUAUGAUCCCCAGAAAAGAACACCAAUUUAAAAGGAGUGCCGCUAUGCAUACCACGCUAUGCGUCCGAUUUUCGUAAGACAAUGAAGAUUGAGCCGUCUUUGCAUUGGAGUAAACCGGUAAACUGUAGCAUGAGAAUUGAUUAGUCAUCGUACUAUGAUCGUAUCAAUAAGUGAUGUUUAUAGAAGCCUGCAACCCUGCCUCUAACUAGACUACUUUCCCACAAAAAAAAACUACACUACCACAAUUUGCACAAUUUCGCGGUUACAAUGUGCAAGAUCAACAGCUGGCAAACACAUAUGUAAAAACAUCUCUUGCGAAAUUCGUGAAGGGGGUGUUUAGUUAGACAUAAUUUGUGACUUUUUGGUUUUUGGCUUAUAAGCCAUUAAAAAAACCCUAUUUGUGUUCUUUUUUCUUUCGCUUUUAGCUUUACCUAUUAUGUGCUUUUGGCUUAGGUGCUUUUUGGCAUAUAAGCUAAAUUCAAAAGCCAAAAGUAUGCCUAAACAAACACCCCCGAAAGCAUCAUCUCUAGUGAAUUCCUGCAGUGAGAAGCUUGAUUUGGAUACAUCUGACCAGCUCAACAAAUUCACUAUGCAAAGCCUGAAAAGUCUAGAGAUAGUGUCAAAUCACCAUAAAGAAGACAAAAGUGACUUGGGAAAGACUUUCCCCCCUUGAUCUCUGCCGGCGAGCCCGUAGAUUCGCCUCCUCACCGCCUGCCGCUCCGGCGGCCAGUGACGGGGAGGAGAAUCCUAGUGUCUCGACUCCUGCUAGUAGAUAAGUAGGGUUUAGUCCUCGCAGGGGCGGCGUUUGGACGGAUGACGGUGCUCCUUCUUUGAGUCAAUCUUCCGGGCUCCGAUCCUUCUCAAGUUCGUCCAUUGGGACGGAUUAGAUGGAGCUCUGGCGUAGAUUCCUUCCAGCACCUUGGGGCAGCGAGGUUAGGGUUUCUCGCCAUGCGUACGCAACAGUGAUAUUUGGUGUCAGGUUCUUCAAAUCGAUUCAAGGAUUCAACAACGACGACUGCGGCUCCAGGGCGCUAGUCCUUAGGGGUACGUGCAUGAGGACUUCUCGGCUAUCAUUGACAAGGUUAGGCCGGCUCCAAUAUUGGAGCAACGACAUUGACGCGUCGGCGGCUCGUUCUGGCAGCGGCGAUGAUCGUUCGGUGGUCGAUGGACGUCGAUGUAAUUUUUGUUAUGCUUGAGGUCAUUUGUACUUUCGGUGAAUCUUUAUAAUAGAUCUAAUUCUUUUCGCAAAAACAAAGUAAACUGAACUAGCAUUGUGCGGUGAAAGAAUGAGACAAGUUCUUACAUCAUUGCACAUGUUGAAAAUAAUAUCAUCCAUUGUGAAGGCAUUGAGUUAAUCAUUAAGAGCCCGUUGAUAACCUAUGUUGUUUUGCAUAGGGAGGAUGCCAUUUGCAUCCCGGUCAUUAAGCAUGUAAGUUGUUGUGACAAAACUGUCUGGCCGAAGGUGGGACAUUGGAAAACUGGUACUUCGACGAUUAACCAUCCGAGCCGGCGCCAAUGAAGCACUACUAGUACCAAGUGCAAAGUUCUCAUUCAACAUCAUCCCGCUUGCCAUGUUUGAAUGGCUCCACUGGCUCAUUUAAGCACCCACUGAUGUAGUGUGCAUUAGACAUCCCUGCAUUGCUUAGUAUGUUGAAUGGUGCCAUCGCUUACCGAAUUCUUCCAUUGAUGUACUGAUGUGAUAUUCCACAAAUGAAGGGGGUCAAUUGCAGACCUUUUCGAUAAGUAAGAGUGGUGAACCCAAUGAUAAGAACGAGGAAUUGGUGAGCAGAAAAAAUUGUAUGCAUUUACUGCAAGUGCUAAAAAAUGUUGCCAUGUUCUGUUUUGUUAUUGGAGAGUUUGCAAAAAUAAAUAGCAAUACAAUUAAAAUAGUACAACCUGUGGCACAAACAAUAAUUGUGUUAAGGGCAGGCAUGUUGUGUUUCUUAUGUGGACCAAAAAGUUCUCUAAGACGGCAAGAAUAUCGCACAAUUGCUAAUUCUAUAGUGAUCUGCAUUGAUUACUUUUGCUUGGUCACUAUUGUGGGGAUAGAGUCUAAGCCUAUAUGUUGCAAAACCAUUGACUAACGCAUACUCAUGAUUGUCUCUUCAGAAAGCAUCCACAAUUACUAAGAGAAAUUAAGACAUAAGCCUAACCAUAGCAUUAUUCUCUAGGGUCCCUAUUCACCCCUCAUGUUAUCAAGGGUAUAGUAAAAGUCUGAGAAAAAACAUGGUGUCCUAUCCCACCUCCCACCCCAACAAUGGCACCCUAUGAUAUUGGCCAAUGGAGGGCCUCCUUCACUGGGAUUUCUCCCCCGGUCUCGCGGUUGUGGCUCUGGUACGUCAACGAUUUGAUUCUAUGGUUCACUUUCCCUCCUAUGGAUCAAUGAAAUAAUUCUUCUGGUUGUUUCUUUAUCCCCGGCUACCUUCACUAUCAUGGCUGUUUUGGUUGGAACUACACUAAAUGUUGCAUUGGUGGUUCUCCAAUCCAUCUGGACUUAACAUACAUCAUUUGAGGAACGCAAUUGCCAAUUUUCUGUGGCUUCCAAUCGAGAUGGUCAUUUUAUCUGUGGUCUUAAGGCCCAGAUUUGGCCUGACUUUGUUUGCCACUUCCAAUAGUUCUGACCGGAAUUAUAGGAUUACUCAAUGGUUGAUGAUUUGUGGCACUCAGAUAACAUGAAUGAAAUGAUCCUAGCUCACACUCCUAUGGUAGCGAAAACCAAGUUAAAUUUUCUUUGAUAGAGAUCAAUUGGUGAUUCCUCGGCCACCAAAGAGCUGGCCAAAUAUGGAUUUUAUUCUUUCUAGGUAAACUCGUCGGAAUUGGGCUCCUAUUCGCUAGAAAAAUUCAAAUUCUUCCUAGUUACAUUUUGGAAGUUGAUACGUCUCCAACGUAUCUAUAAUUUAUGAAGCAUUCAUGCUAUAUCUACGUGAGUUCUAUAUGCUUCUGGUGCACUUAUAUAUUAUUUUUAUGGACUAACAUAUCUUACAUUCUUAAGAAGUUUAUCCCCCUUACAAGGCAUUCUCUCAACAUGCAGAUUAUUCACCUCAACAUUCCCAUGUCUCCAUUGCAGUUACUGAUAACAACUAUGUAUCUCUUUCUGACUAUCUCUCUCACCAGCCCAACAGCCCCUCUUCAGCCUCUCCCCACCGCCUAAUAACCUUCCCAAUUAACUUAUUUACCCAUUGAUUUCCAUCACCAAUUCCUAUUCAUCUUAUCCAUCGAAUAAAUUCAUGAGUAACAGAUGGAGUCGCCUUUAAACUCCCGUCGUCACCACAACAAUUAGAAGAGCAUCGGCUGCCGUCUGGCCUAGACAGCUGCCGCCCCAACCGUCCAACCCACGAUAGCCACCCACCGCCGCCCAUCCUGGACCUGCCACCCUGUCUGGACCCGCAGGUCAACGCCAACGACUAGGGCGCCAUCGCUAGCCACCUGUCUGCUGGCGUAGCCCUCGACCAAGACGCAACAUGCGCCACCUGCCCCAAUCCAGCCGCGUGCCGCCGCUAGAAACCUUCCCGAGCCCCUGCCGCCAACCCGGCCACACGCCGCGUGCCACCACCAACAGCCCCACCCAUCCCCAGCUGCGGAUCGAGACCUGUUGAAGCGACAUGGUGCAAAUCAUGCAUGUGAAUAAUUAUUUUAUGAUAUACAAUCAUAUAACAUCAAACCUUAUUAAUUUGAUUUAAGGGAUGUGGCAACGCUUACUAUCAUAGUGAAAAAUGCCUACGAAAACAAGCAAAAAACGUAUGAAAGGAGUCAACGUGCCACAUGACAAAUGGAGAUGAAAUUAAGGAGUUAAGUGCCACACGAUAGAGGAAAUGAAAGUAGUCAAUGCGCCAUGGAACAAACAGAGAUUAAAUGAGUCAACACACCACGCGACAAAUGGAGAUGAAAGGAUUAUUCAAGGCAACAAUGACAUAUGGAGAUUAAAUGAAUCAACACGCUAUGCGACAAAUAUAUCUCUUGAUAAUCUAGACAUUUAGAUUUGGAGAGUUAGAUUGGAACUUAAUGAUUUAUAUAUAGGGUGGCCUAGGGGCACCACUUAAGCUCUUUGAUACAAUGAAAUUCCAGCAUGAUACAAUGAUCUACAAGAAUUACUAUUAAAUGCAUUGCUUGUUGAAUUUCAUACUACGUAAUUUUCCCCCAUGUACCUUCUAAAUGGGGGCAAUAGAGCAGAGUUUGGUGAGAUCAUCUUCGGUCUUUUAUUUUAAGAAAAACAUGGAAGGGAUGAUAUCCGAUGACUUUCGUGAUUGUACUCAUCUUUAUUUGGACAAAUUGAGAUUGUGCAAUGUCACCUCAAUUCUCAAGUAGAUUAUGAGAUACUAUAGAGUGGGAGAUGGUCUCUCAAAUCUUUUUUGAUAGGAAUAAAUGAAUAAGAGCCAUGCAUACUAUCUACAUGUAAAAUUUGAUUACGGAAAAGGAGUCCAUGCACCAUGCAGAAAUGAGAUGCAAUGGAAACUAGAAAGUUUCCAUUUCCAUUGGGCGAGUCUUCUCAAAAACAAAUUCAUAAAAAGAGAAUACAGUAGCUGGACUCCAUUCAAAGCAAUGAGCUUAAGUGGUGUCUCUAGGUCUUUCUAUACAAAACUCGUUGGGUGCCAUCUGAGGCACCAAAUAUGAAGUUUUUGAUUCUCAGAACAUAUAUAGUCGCAUAGUGGGAUGAAUCAUUUCAUCUCAUUUUUCAUGUAUCGUGUUGAAUCAUUUCAUCUCCAUGUGUCAUGUGGCGUGCUGACUCCUUUCACCUGUGUUUGCCGAGUGGCACUUUGACUCCUUUCACCCCCUCCAUUGUGUGGCACAUCAACUUCUUUCAUCUCCAAUUGUUUGGUGGCAUGUUAACUCCUUUCAUCUCCAUUGGUCUGGUUCUCGUAAGCAUUUCUCCACAAUGAUAGUAAACACUGCCGCAUCCCACAACUCAUAUUAAUAGGAUUUCUAAUAACAUAUGUUUGUAUUUCAUAACAUAAAUUUUUAUGUGCAUGAACAAUUCGUUCUCCAGCGUAAUUCAUUGGACAUCAUUCCUUUUCACUAUUUUUGAAAAAAGAACAUGAAACUAGUAAAUGUUAACUCUUGGGCCAUAUACGUACCACAAACAGAAACAUAUUAACAUUUGACAAGAAUGGAAACAAUAAUGGAAUUUUAUUGAGGGGGAUAAUAAAAAAUUGGCAGAAACUGUCACACCUUUCAUAAAACUACACACAUCCAUGGCAUGGACCACAAGAACUCCACUCGAUGGAUCCUUGUAUUUCUUUUCUCUCUUCUUCGUAAACGAUAUUUCUUCUUUCUUGAACAUCUUGGCCUGACUUCAUACUCACAAAGCUAAACAAUUAUCGUAGUGGUGUUGGACAGAGGAUGCAAUUAUUUGGUUCGAAUUUGUGUAUUGCUCUCGCCCUAGUCUGAAAUACCCUUGAACUUAUGUUCGAGAAGUGUUUUAUUUUUUAAAUAAAAGGCCCUUGUAAAAUUAUGAUUCCAGGAAGUCAUACGGCCCGAUAUGUAUGCAACUGAAAUCGAAGAUAACCUCCAUCUUUUUAUCCGAUGCCCACUUUCUUGUGAGCUGUGGUAUGCUAUGGCAGAAGACUAGGUCCUGCCGGAGAUUAAUGAGAUUGAAAACACGGGUAAAGAGUGGUUAUUGCAUGCACUUGAACCCCCUCCUAGACAUCGAACGCGCCAUGCUGUUGAUGACCUUAUGGCGCUGCUGGCACAUCCACAAUGAAGUUGUUCAUCACAAACCGCCACCCCCGGCGAAAGCAUCUAAAAGAUUUCUCGUAUGCUACCUGGACUCUAUCAUUGGGCUCAAAACUGAAUUGUGUGAUGGUCCUUGCAAAGGUAAAUCUAUCAUCGCGUAUCACCAAACAGUGAGAACAAGAAUGACAAGUCAGGUGGAUAGAUGGAGUUCGCCCCAUGUUGGGUCGGUGAAAUUAAACAUUGACAGGUCCUAUGGGCGAAGAUGGUGCCGCCGGAAAGAUCUUACGGAAUGACAAUGAUGCUAUCAUUUUUUUGGCCUGUAGGGCACCGUUUUCAUGUUCAGAAGCAUUGGAAGCGAAACUUUGUGCGUGUAUGGAAUGACUCUCAUUUUAAAUCCAGAGAAGUGAAUUGCCAAUUAUUGUGGAGAUGGACUCCAUGGUUGAGGUGAAGGUGAUUCAGUCGCAUGAGAUAGGCAGAUCUUUAUAAUCUUCCAUUGUACGAAAGAUUAGGCACUUGAUGAGCCUUUUAGUACUUGUAUUACUCUUGUUAACCACACUCAAAAUAAGGUUAGUGAUAGUCUAGCUAAGUUUGCAAAGGUUGAAGAAAGAACCAUGACCUAGAUUUGUUCAGGACCUUCAGCUUCUUUAGAGCUAGCUCAUGCAGAUUAUAAUGACCAUGAUAUUUGAGUAAUACAAAUUUUUACCUGCAAAAAAAGUGGAAAAAUGAGAGGUAACCUAUGCACAAUAAUAUGAGUUUAGGAGGGAACCAACUUGUGAUUGGAUAGUCAGAAGGACAGUGGUAUCCCCUGCCCGCCAGAGUUCAAGUCCCAGACAUGACAUUGGUGCUUGUAUUUUCUCAUCAAUCUCAAGAUGAUGUGUCGUCUCAGUCUCUCGGAGGUGUUCAUAGGGGUACGAUGAUGUGUGUGCGUUCCUAGGGAUGAGUGUAUGUUUAUGUAUGUGAGCGACUUGGAUUGUACCGACUUCCCGACUGUCUACUGCAACAAGUUGUGCCCGGCUCCGGCGAUGGAGGGGUGAUGACGGCGGCACGCCUUCGGCUCGCUUCGGUGCUUAUAGUCGUCGCUAGGUGGUCUACGAAUAUGGAUGUAAUCUUUAUUUCUGGUAUUCGUUGUACUGCCAUGAUUGAAGAUGAAUAGAUUGGAAGUUUUUCCGCAAAGAAAAGAAAACAAAUAUGAGUUUAGGCCUCACACAUUGUCACGUCCCUGCAAAGGUAGGUAGGGAUGUGGCCGUUGAGGCAAUGAACGCGCUCUCCGUUUCCGGUCAAAGGAAGCACAAAGACACUCUGUCCAUGGCCAUGCAACCGAACAAAGCAGGAGUCUCUCAUUUUUGUAAUUCAAAUCAUAUCUUCGUGAUCCAACAUUUGUUAAGAAAAGAACAAAAAAGCAAAAAACAGCAACACAGCCCGUGGUUUUGCUUUCCAAAAUACAUGCACAAAAUCAUAUCAUCGGCGGACAGCACAAGCAGACACCAAAAUACAUGCACAAAAUUAGUACUGUAGAUUCAGAAACUAAUACUGUAGAUUCAGAAAUUAAUACUGUAGAUUCAGAAAUUAUUGAGUAGAAAUUAAGUAGCGCAUGAACAGAACCCAAAAUCAAGCACGGGGAGGGAAAGGAGGGAUCUAAUCUAACAGAGGUUUUGGGUUGUGUUCUUAGAUGUCUGUGGGCUUUGUGUUGGUUAGGUCCCUUGUUCCUUAAUCAGUGUUUUACUUCAUGUCGUUUGCUUUGGCAGGUGGGAAGGAGUUCGGAAAACAAUGGCCGCGAUGGGUGGGGACCAAAGGCAGAUGAUGGAGGAUGCGGCGGAGGACAAGUUCCCGGAGGGGUUACGAGUCCUCGCCGUGGACGACGACUGCGUCUGCCUCAAGGUGCUAGAGAACCUCUUGCGCGGCUGCAAAUACCACCGUGAGUCUCUUGAAUCUUGAUCCCUCCGCUUCGCCAAAGUCCAUUAGGAUCGGAGCCUUGUGAUGUUUUUGUUUCUCUGCGAAUAAUGCUUUUUGCGAUGCAGCAACGACUGUGAAGGAUGCCAAGAUGGCGCUGAAGAUUCUCAGCGCGGGGAAGGUGAAGUUCGACCUGGUCAUCACCGACGUGCGCAUGCAGGACAUGGACAGCUUGAAGCUCCUCGAGCGCAUCCGCCUCGAGAUGGAUCUGCCCGUCAUCAGUACACUCACUGCUCAAUUCUAAGUCCUAGUUUUAUUUUUGUGUGUACGAGCUGACAAUUCUCUUUGAGAACGUACAUCUAAUCCUGAAUCUUGGAUAUACAGUGAGAGGAGAGGACAUCCAUUCCUUUGAGCAGCACGUGAGAUCCUAUAUAUUCAGCACGAUUUUAGGAAACCAAAUACACAUGCACGCCACACUCACCCUAUUUUUAACUUUGGGGAAAUCGAAAGAGUGGGAUCCCCUUUCAGCCCGAACCAACGGGAUCCCAUCUAACCAUUCAUCUGUCCGGUCGGAUGGCCAGUGGGCCGGGUAGUAGAGCGGAGGUGAAUCGACACAUUAGUGAAUUAGGAGGGGGCUGGAUCACAGGAUCCCUAGUGGUAUCGGUUCCUUGCCCGAACCAAUGGGAUCCAACCUAAUUGCUCAUCCAUCGAUCAAAUGGCUAGUGGGGGCAGGGGAAUGGAAGCGGUAGCAUGUGAUUUAUGAGAUCCAACUAAUUAUUGACUUAAAUAAUUGUGUUGAUUGUUUUUAGUAUGCUAUAAACAUGGUCAUGUGUACCAUAUAUAANNNNNNNNNNNNNNNNNNNNNNNNNNNNNNNNNNNNNNNNNNNNNNNNNNNNNNNNNNNNNNNNNNNNNNNNNNNNNNNNNNNNNNNNNNNNNNNNNNNNNNNNNNNNNNNNNNNNNNNNNNNNNNNNNNNNNNNNNNNNNNNNNNNNNNNNNNNNNNNNNNNNNNNNNNNNNNNNNNNNNNNNNNNNNNNNNNNNNNNNNNNNNNNNNNNNNNNNNNNNNNNNNNNNNNNNNNNNNNNNNNNNNNNNNNNNNNNNNNNNNNNNNNNNUAGGAACCGGUUCUAUUUUCGAUCAAUUGAUGUCCCAAUUGUAUUAAAACAUGCCGUCUGGAUUCAGUAUAAAUUUGUUUUAGAACUUCAAUACGUAGUGCCAGAAGUCUAGAGUUCAAUACCAUCCAUACAAUAUAUAUGGUAAUCUAGCUUAGUGUGAGUAUGUGUUACUCCUAUGCAAUGUAGACCCACUACUCGUAUGUGUUUGGUGCGGGUGCAUUGAUGGACUUAAUUUAAUUUUGUAUGCUCUCAAUUGUAAAAAUCUAGUCAUAAGAACCAAAAUUAUAAUAUAUUUUUAUUUUGUGAUAUGACCAAAUUAUAUUUAGUUGUUUUCUAAACUAAUAUUAAAUACCUAGUCCUUGCAAUCACACAAAGUAUAGAAUUGCACCACCUGUUUGCUAGGGUGGCAGGAGUAGUACAAUUAGGAAACUACGUAUGUUGUAUCUACGUCAUUAAAGGAUUACCCAUCUAUAAUCUGCUUGAGAUUGUUUGUUAAAAGUACUUACUCUUGAGAAUACCAUAUAAAGGAGUGCCACUUUAAAGCAGAUACAUUGAGUAGGUUAACCAUGUAAAAUAUCUACAAUCCUGAAGCUUUGUUGACUUUGAACUAGGACACUAAUUUGUAGUCCCAUUAUUUUUGCCGGCGAGUGCAACCAAAAAUACUUAUUAUCCUAAAAUGUAAUAAAAAUACUUAAGAUAAUGGCGCUGCCAUGUGUAUGACUGCUUAACAUGCUCAGAACAUUACACGAGCCGAUCACUUUUAUCUAGUGCGCUAGAGAAACAUGGUAAACCACCAAUAAUAGCAAUUGAUCUUCUUGUUCACUAGUACUUAAACGUGACGAUCUGAUUUACCUAGUUAGAACAUGGUGUUAUGAUGGUUUAGGCAUUGUGUCAUGGUUAUUUUUAUCCAUUAUUUGUGUUUUAUACUAUUAAUUGAAUGUGUGAAUGUUUUUCCAUUUAAUUUGCACUGGAACACAAAUUAUAUCAUUGUCAUGAUAAUCUGAAAAUCAUGUUGAAAACAUGUUUGCUUCCCCACUUGCCCGACGCAUUUGGAAAAUAUUGAAUUCUGUUUUCUAUCUAUAAGCACCAGUAUAAAAUUUUAUGUCCAGUUCAUAGAUUUUUGUGAAGUACUAAACUCCAAAGCUAAGUCAGGUCAUAUGGCAUGCAGUGCUAUCUGAAGAUUGUGAAAAGAAGGCUAUGAUGAAGGGGAUAAAUCAUGGGGCGUGUGACUAUUUGGUGAAGCCAGUGCAUACCAACGAGCUAAAAAAUAUAUGGCAGCAUGUUGAAAGCAGGAGAAAUUCUGAAGCAAUAAGGCACAUUAGCAGGGACGAUGAUGACGACCAGAGAUCACAGCUUGGGACUGCUGCCAAGAGCAAUGAUGGAGCUAAUACUGACGAGAGCAAAGAGAGCACACAUGCAUCCGCUACCCAGAAGAAGCCAAAAGUGGCAUGGACAAUCGAGCUGCAUACAAAGUUUAUGGAAGCUAUCAACCAGAUCGGCCUUUAUAGUAAGACACACAUUAUGUCCUUAUUAAAUGACACAACACUUGUUGUUACUUGGGAUUUUCCAUUAACAAUUUUUUGAUUACAUUACUAUAGGGGCUACUCCAAAAAAGAUUCUUGAGCUGAUGAAUGUGGAUUACCUCACUAGAAAAAAUGUAUCGAGUCAUCUACAGGUUUAUUUUCAACCCUUUUCUUUAUUUGUCACAUGUUUAUGUUCCAUUUAUUCAUAGUCUAACAUUUUGUCAUAUAUAAGUGUGAGCUUAUAUUUUUUGGAGGAACAUAUUAGUCAAAGGUUUAUUAAUGCACCCAACAUGAAAAUGUGUGUAAUUGUAAUCUUUUUUGUCCUUGAAAAUGUGAGGUUUAUCUUAUAUAAUGCAUGCCCCAUACUUUUUGAACCCAUGCAACACUUUCAGUUAUUUUUAUUCCCACAUGUCCACCAUUAGUAUUUCCCAUGAGCGUGCAUCUCAUAUACAUGUUUAUUUGUCUAUAUUGUUAUUUCAGAAGUAUAAAUUGUACUUGAAAAAAGUCAACUCAAACCCACUUGGUGAUGCAUGUGUAAGAUGGAACUCUUUCAUGAACAAUUGGGAGAGUUUUAUGCAUAACCAUGAGCAUGAAAGGUGGGGUGUGUCCUCAGGUAGCAUCGCCUCGUGGAGUCCGAACCAUUACGGUGCAGCGGUUCACUUAGGUCAGCAUACAAACACCCAGGGGAGUAUGUCCAUGGGUUCAUUAAUCAGUGGUGGUACAAUGCUGGGGUAUUUGGUACCACAGACGCCCUCUAUGGGAAUAUUUUCUGGCUUGAAUGAGCAUAUAGUUCCAUUCAACAUACCUAGCAACCCAAGCUCUAUAGGGAUGUUGAAUGCAAACAUCAGUGUUCCAAUGGAAGCACCUCAGUUUGUUUACAGCGACCCAAUCACUACAUUAGUGGCAGGCUUCAGCGAGAAGAUGGCGCCAUUCAACAUAGCAAGCAACAUGGGCUCGGUUGGAAUGAUGUUAAAUGGCAAGUAUGCACCUGGUACAGGAAGAACUUCAGUGGUAGAGACUGAGAUGGUUAACUAUGGAAGAAUUAGUUCUGCACUUUCCAACCAUCAGAUAUAUGAUUUCGUCCCAUUGACACAUAUGCAUGAAGUCGGUGAUGCAUCUGGUAUUUUCCAUGUGCAAGAAGGAACAGUUGAUCAGCAAGCACUUAGUAGUCAACUGAAUGGCAUCAAUGACUUGUCAUCAGUCGGUAUUAAUGAAGUAAGAAUGUUUCUCCUUGACAUGUAUCUAGUCUAUGCAUAUGAAAUUUUGAAAUGAACAGGUGUAUUUAAAUCAAACUUUCUUUCUUGUUGUAGGAUUUCAUUGGAGAGGAUGCGGUCAUGGAUGGAUAAUGAAACUUAUGUUGGUUAACCCAACCUAGAUGCAAGAUAUUUUUCGCAUGUGUGUUGGGCACUUUUAAUGUGCCAUUCCUUUGUUCUUGCACAAUGUACCAUGAAACUGUCAGAUUUAUGUAGUCUAGUUGGAAGUACGGUCGUGUCGGGGCUUCUAUUUUACUCCAACUAUUUUUUAAGUUUUCGUUUCCAUCUGAGAUCAAAAUGGUGUUUGGUUAUGUUAUUUCUGAUGUAAGCAUUUUUGUUCUAUAUAUUAUUGAUAUGAUGUUGCAUCUUUUCCCGAGACAACAUUUCAAGGUGAAAACAUGUCCCCCUGUCUAUGACAUGGUCUUUAGGACGCAUAUUUUAGACACGGCUUAGGGAAAAAUCAUACAUUAAAUUUUCUAUAAAGGCAUAUACAUGUUUUUCCCUGCAUUUAAUGUUCAUUGCAAAAGUGUCAAAAGUAGAAACCGAGUGAAGAGAACCCUAGUCUUCAUUAUCCAUGUAUAAAUGCUUCACUUUUCCAAUUCUGAUGUCGUGUGAUAGAAGUUGCUUGCACUAAUGUAUUAUCCUAAUAUUCUGUGCCUAUUACCAUAUAACAUAAAGGAAAUUAUUUAGUUUUGGAUGUAGAAAAUAUUUAUUUACCUUAAUUGUGAAAGUCAGUGGUGCCUAACUUUUUUUUGUGAAUGGUGGUGCCUAACUUAAACAUCUGCAGUCAAGAAUAUGGUUUAUGAACGCCUAGGCCAUCAUCACAACAUCUUCAAACAUCAUGCAAAUCAUGCACCUGAAUAAUUAUGUUAUUAGAUACAAUAUGAUAUCUCAAACCCUAUUAACUUCAUUUAAGGGAUAUGGUGCUGCUUACUACUGUUGUGGAAAAUGCUAACAAAAACUCAAAAAUGACAAUGGAAGGAAUCAAUGUACCACAUGACAAUUGGAGAUGAUGUUAGAUAAUCUUGUCUGUUAGGUUAGAUAUAGUUGCUACGGGGUCUACUAGGUAGUCUACUAGGACAUGUUGGAGUUAGCUUGCAUGCCAUGUGCUGGUGCUAAGAAUUCCAGUUAGCACUUGUCCGGCUGGAAGUAGUAUAUUGCCGUGCCAUAGUUUGAGUUUAGUAGGAGCCCAAGGCAGAGUUGGUCCAUCUGGUAAUUGGGUAGUGUUCUAGUACUAUCCCAGUUAUAUAUUGCCUAUGCUUGCUGCUCGCAAUAUACUACCUCCAGAUGAACCAAACGUUAGCGGCUUAACUAUGAAAGCAGUUAUAUAUAGAGCACUAUCUUUCUUAUCCGACUAAGGCUUUGAACCCAUAAGUAUCGCGUGAGUGUUAGCAAUUGUGAAAGACUAAAUGAUAGUUGAGUAUGUGGACUUGCUGAAAAGCUCUUAUAUUGAAUCUCUCCGAUGUUAUGAUAAAUUGCAAUUGCUUCAAUGACUGAGAUCAUAGUUGUUAGUUUUCAAUGAAGUUUUUGAUUCAUACUUUACCUUGUGAAUGAAUUGUUACUUUAGCAUAAGAAAUUAUAUAACAAUAUAUGUUGCUCUUCUAAAAUAUGAUCAUGAUGCCCUCAUGUCCGUAUUUUAUUUCAUCGACACCUCUAUCUCUAAACACGUGGACAUAUUUUUCGAUUUUGGCUUUCGCUUGAGGACAAGCGAGGUCUAAACUUGGGGGAGUUGAUACGUCCAUUUUGCAUCAUGCUUUCAUAUUGAUAUUUAUUGCAUUAUGGGUUGUUGUUAAACAUUAUAGCACAAUACUUAUGCAUUUUCUCUCUUAUUUUACAAGUUUUACAUGAAGAGGGAGAAUGCCGGUAGCUGGAAUUCUGGACUGGAAAAGGAGCAAAUAGAUCUAUUCUGCACAACUCCAAAAGUCCUGAAACUUUAUGGAGAAUUAUUUUUAAUAAAAAAUAUUGGGCAAAGAAAGUACCAAAGGGGCCCCACCAGGAAGCCACAAGGGUGGGGGCGCGCCCUACCCCCUGGGCGCGCCCACUAGUAGAAAAAGGGCCUAUUGUCCUGGUUCGUAAGGGCCAUUUGUCCCGGUUAUUGAACUGGGAUUAAAGUGUCGGUACUAAUUCCCUAGACCUUUAGUCCCUGUUCUUACACAAACCGGGACAGAUGGGCCUACACAUGGCCGGUGCGGCAAGCCCAGGCAGGAGGCCCUUUGGUCCCAGUUGGUGGCACCAACCGGGACCAAUAGGCAUCCACGCGUCAGCAUUUCAGGGGCUGGGGUUUUUNNNNNNNNNNNNNNNNNNNNNNNNNNNNNNNNNNNNNNNNNNNNNNNNNNNNNNNNNNNNNNNNNNNNNNNNNNNNNNNNNNNNNNNNNNNNNNNNNNNNNNNNNNNNNNNNNNNNNNNNNNNNNNNNNNNNNNNNNNNNNNNNNNNNNNNNNNNNNNNNNNNNNNNNNNNNNNNNNNNNNNNNNNNNNNNNNNNNNNNNNNNNNNNNNNNNNNNNNNNNNNNNNNNNNNNNNNNNNNNNNNNNNNNNNNNNNNNGGGUUAGGGGGUUUUGGGGGGUUGAUUUAUGUGUUUCAUAUAUUGUGUUAGCUAGCUAAUUAAUAGAGAGAGAAGCGUCCUCUCUUAUCUCCGUGCUUGGUCGACACUACGUACUAUACAUAUAGAGAGGACUAGACACGGUAGCUAGUAAGCAAAUGAAGGAAACAGAAGAUCGUCAUGAACAUAUGCAUACAGAGAGAAGUGAUAUCGACCACCUCUCCUUGUUUGAGAGAUUGGUCAAAUAACAAGUUCUCGUAUAUCUAUCCGACGCUACUGGCCACAUAUAUACAAUAUAAUUAUCUCUUACAAUAUAAUCUCCUAAUUCCAAAUGAACUCAGGGUCCACAUGGUAUUCUCCGUCUUUAGCGAUCACGUGGUCAAGAAAGAAUGCCGCCAGUUCCUCUUGAAUUGCUCGCAUACGAUCCGGUGGUAGGAGUUCAUCCCGCAUCUGAAAUAUCUAAUUUGAAUAAGGGGGUCAAUACAUAUAUAUGAAUAAAUGAAACUCAAAAUUAAUGAUGGCAAUAAAAUAAAAUUGUGAAUAUUAUUAUUUACGCACUUCAUAUUGUUUGUCAGAGUAGCCCCACUCACAGGUCGUGUGGAGGAUGGACUUGCAAAUGUAGUAUCCACAGUAAUCAUUCCCUUGUUCCUGCCAUAACCACUUUACAAGAAAUAGAGGUCAAUCAAACUGAUAAUUAGCAAGCACGCUAAAUGGUAUUGAUGAAACUAGCGCUUGAAUCACUAGGAGAUGAACGGAACAUGCUACUAUAGUACUUACUUUCGGGUGUCUAAAUUGCAGCUUCUUCGGCAGUCCCGGAGUUUUUGAGGUGAAUUUUUUCCAAACCCUGCCAGACAAAGAAAACAGUUACUUGAUAUGAGGAAAUAAACAAAGCUGCCGAUAUGGUGCGAUAAUGAUCGAUUUAACUUCUCUAGAAUUUCAGUCAUGUCCGCAUACUCCUUGGGAUCUUUUCAUCUUGAGUCUAAGACGGUUACUAGUCCCUGCUCAAACUUAAUCUCUAGGAUAAUAUAGUGGAACCUGCGCACGCAUGCAUAACUCAUCAAUUACAUUACUAUAACCUCGACUAAUAAGGGAAACCGAAUAUGCACAAGACAGUAACACUCACUUGAAUUCGUAAGGGAAGAGUAUUAUAGCUUUGUUUUGAUUUAAUACAAAUGAUUGUAGUAGCUUGGCCUCGGUAUCUUUGGCCUGAGAUUCAACCAUAUAUUCAUCUAUGAGAUUUGUGUUAAUGAACCCAAUAUCACCGAUUUGUCUUUUCUUGAAUUCGGCGAUCUUCAAUCUGCAUAAUAUAGUGAGGAUAAUUAAAAAUACAUGCAAUGAAAGAGCUGACCUAUAUAUAGAGACUUAAUGAUAGAAGUAGUACUACUUACAAGCAGUAGUAAGUGAUCAUUAAUUUAUCGAGGGCCUUUAGAUUGAAAAAUGCGAAGAACUCCUCAAAUGGAGCAUUCGGCAGUUCAAUUCCAAUGAGGUCAUGCUCCUCUCUAACUCUCAGCGUCAAAAUAUUCCCCCUCUCCGACUCUCUGCAGGUUUUCAUGUACCAAUUAUGGAAUCUUCGCAUCAUCGUUGUUAGAGAUCUUUCAUCUUUGACGAGAGGCUUCCAGUACACGUAUUUGUGUUCGUCCACCUCCAAGAAAUCAUAAUGUACAUCGUCGGGCAGGUAAUCUCCAAGAUUGUUAUAACCGGGCACCAUCGCCCCGAUCAUUAGCGACGAUAUCUGCUACGUCUUGAGCUUGCGUUGGUUUUCCUUGAAGAGGAAAGGGUGAUGCAGCAAUAGUAGCGUAAGUAUUUCCCUCAGUUUUUGAGAACCAAGGUAUCAAUCCAGCAGGAGGCUCCUCAAAAGUCCCACACACCUACACUAACAAACAAAGAACUCGCAACCAACACAAUAAAGGGUUUGUCAAUCCCUUCACGGCCACUUGCGGAAGUGAGAUCUGAUAGAGAUAAUAUGAUAAGAUAAAUAUAUUUUUGGUAUUUUAUAAUAUAGAUAGGAAAAGUAAAGAUGCAAAUAAAAGUAGAUUGAAAGCUUAUAUGAUAAGAGAUAGACCCGGGGGCCAUAGUUUCACUAGUGGCUUCUCUUAAGAUAGCAUAGGUAUUACGGUGGGUGAAAAAGUACUGUCGAGCAAUUUAUAGAAAAGCGAAUAAUUAUGAGAUUAUCUAGGCAUGAUCAUGUAUAUAGGCAUCACGUCCGUGACAAGUAGACCAACUCCUGCCUGCAUCUACUAUUAUUACUCCACACAUCGACCGCUAUCCAGCAUGCAUCUAGAGUAUUAGGUUCAUAAAGAACAGAGUAACGCAUUAAGAAAGAUGACAUGAUGUAGAGGGAUAAACUCAUGCAAUAUGAUAUAAACCCAUCUUUUUAUCCUCGAUGGCAACAAUACAAUACGUGCCUUGCUGCCCCUGCUGUCAUUGGGAAAGGACACCGCAAGAUUGAACCCAAAGCUAAGCACUUCUCCCAUUGCAAGAAAGAUCAAUCUAGUAGGCCAAACAAAACUGAUAAUUCGAAGAGACUUGCAAAGAUAACUUAAUCACACAUAAAAGAAUUCAGAGGAGAUUCAAAUAUUUCUCAUAGAUAAACUUGAUCAUAAACCCACAAUUCAUCGGAUCUCGACAAACACACCGCAAAAAGAGUUACAUCGAAUAUAUCUCCAAGAAGAUCGAGGAGAACAUGGUAUUGAGAUCCAAAAAGAGAGAAGAAGCCAUCUAGCUAAUAACUAUGGACCCGAAGGUCUGUGGUAAACUACUCACAACUCAUCGGAGGGACUAUGGUGUUGAAGUAGAAGCCCUCUGUGGUUGAUUCACCCUCCGGCGGGGCGCCGGCGAAGGCUCCAAGAUGGGAUCUCGCGGAUACAGAAGGUUACGGUGGUGGAAAUAGUUUUUCGUCGUAUCCUUUGAUGUUCUCGGGGUACGUGGGUAUAUAUAGGAGGAAGAAGUAGGUCGGUGGACACCCGAGGGGCCCACGAGAUAGGGGGCGCGCCCAGUAGGGGUUGGCGCGCCCUCCACCCUCGUGGCCGCCUGAUACGUCUCCAACGUAUCUAUAAUUUUUGAUUGUUCCAUGCUAUUAUAUUACCCUUUUUGGAUGUUUAUGGGCUUUAUUUUACACAUUUAUAUCAUUUUUGGGACUAACCUACUAACCGGAGGCCCAGCCCGUAUUGCUGUUUUUUUUGCCUAUUUCAGUAUUUCGAAGAAAAGGAAUAUCAAACGGAGUCCAAACGGAAUGAAACCUUCGGGAGCGUGAUUUUUGGAACGAACGUGAUCCAGAGGACUUGGAGUGCAAGUCAAGAAGCAGCCGAGGCGAGCACGAGGGUGGAGGGCGCGCCCCACUAUCUCGUGGGCCCCUCGGGCGGCCACCGACCUACUUCUUCCUCCUAUAUAUACCCACGUACCCUGAGAACAUUCAGGGAGCCAACGAAAAACUAUUUCCACCGCCGUAACCUUCUGUAUCUGCGAGAUCCCAUCUUGGAGCCUUCGCCGGUGCUCCGCCAGAGGGGGAAUCGACCACGGAGGGCUUCUACAUCAACACCAUAGCCCCUCCGAUGAGUUGUGAGUAGUUUACCACAGACUUUCGGGUCCAUAGUUAUUAGCUAGAUGGCUUCUUCUCUCUUUUUGGAUCCCAAUACCAUGUUCUCCUCGAUCUUCUUGGAGAUCUAUUCGAUGUAACUCUUUUUGCGGUGUGUUUGUCGAGAUCCAAUGAAUUGUGGGUUUAUGAUCAAGUUUAUCUAUGGGAAAUAUUUGAAUCUCCUCUUAAUUCCUUUAUGUAUGAUUGAGUUGCAAGUCUCUUUGAAUUAUCAGUUUGGUUUGGCCUACUAGAUUGAUCUUUCUUGCAAUGGGAGAAGUGCUUAGCUUUUGGGAUCAAUCUUGCGGUGUCCUUUCCCAGUGACAAUAGGGGCAGCAAGGCACGUAUUGUAUUGUUGCCAUCGAGGAUAAAAAGAUGGAUUUUAUAUCGUAUUGCAUGAGUUUAUCCCUCUACAUCAUGUCAUCUUUCUUAAUGCGUUACUCUGUUCUUAUGAACUUAAUACUCUAGAUGCAUGCUGGAUAGCGGUCGAUGUGUGGAGUAAUAGUAGUAGAUGCAGGCAUGAGCCGGUGUACUUGUCGCGGACGUGAUGCCUAUAUACAUAAUCAUGCCUAGAUAAUCUCAUAAUUAUCCGCUUUUCUAUCAAUUGCUCGUAAGUAAUUUGUUCACCCACCAUAAUAUUUAUGCUAUCUUGAGAGAAGCCACUAGUGAAACCUAUGGCCCUCGGGUCUAUCCUUUAUCAUAUAAGAUUUCAAUCUACUUUUAUUUGCAUCUUUACUUUUCCAAUCUAUAUUAUAAAAUACCAAAAAUAUAUUUAUCUUAUCAUACUAUCCUAUCUCUAUCAGAUCUCACUUUCACAAGUGGCCGUGAAGGAAUUGAGAAUCCCUUUAUUGCAUUGGUGGCGAGUUCUUUGUUUGUUUGUGUAGGUGUGUGGGAAUUUUGAGGAGCCUCCUACUGGAUUGAUACCUUGGUUCUCAAAAAGUGAGGGAAAUACUUGCGCUACUAUUGCCGCAUCACCCUUUCCUCUUCAAGGAAAACCAAUGGAAGCUCAUGACGUAGCACCGCCUCGACUGCUUCUUGACUUGCACUCCAAGUCCUCUGGAUCACGUUCAUUCCAAAAAUCAAUCUCCCGAAGGUUUUAUUCCAUUUGGACUCCAUUUGAUAUUCCUUUUUUUCGAAACACUAAAAUAGGCAAAAAACAGCAAUACGGGAUGGGCCUCCGGUUUGUAGGUUAGUCCAAAAAAUGAUAUAAAUGUGUAAAGUAAAGCCCAUAAACAUCCAAAACGGGUAAUAUAAUAGCAUGGGACAAUAAAAAAUUAUAGAUACGUUGGAGACGUAUCAAGCAUCCCCAAGCUUAAUUCCUGCUCGUCCUCGAGUAGGUAAAUGAUAAAAACAGAAUUUUUGAUGUGAAAUGCUACCUAGAAUAAUUCUCAAUGUAAUUUUUUAUUGUGGCAUGAAUGUUCAGAUCCAAAUGAUUCAAAAUAAAAGUUCAUAUUGACAUGAGAAAUAGUAAUACUUCAAGCAUACUAAUCAAAGCAAUCAUGUCUUCUCAAAAUAAUAUGGCUAAAGAAAGUUCAUCCCUACAAAAUCAUAUAGUUAGUCUAUGCUUCAUUUUCAUCACACAAAAAUGCUCCCAAAGUAUACACCCCCGAUGAAAAGCCAAGCAAUUGUUUUGUACUUAAAUAAUCUCAAACUUUUUCAACUUUCACGCAAUACAUGAGCGUGAGCCAUGGAUAUAGCACUAUGGGUGGAAUAGAAUAUGAUGAUGGGGAUUGUGUGGAGAAGACAAAAAAGGAGAAAGUCUCACAUUGACGAGGAUAAUCAACGGGCUAUGGAGAUGCCCAUCAAUUGAUGUCAACAUGAGGAGUAGGGAUUGCCAUGCAACGGAUGCACUAGAGCUAUAAAUGUAUGAAAGCUCAACAAAAGAAACUAAGUGGGUGUGCAUCCAACUUGCUUGCUCACGAAUACCUACGGCAUUUUGAGGAAGCCCAUCGUAGGAAUAUACAAGCCAAGUUCUAUAAUGAAAAAUUCCCACUAGUAUAUGAAAGUGACACCAUAUGAGACUCGCUAUAUGAAGAACAUGGUGCUACUUUGAAGCACAAGUGUGGAAAAAGAGAUAGUAACAUUGCCCCCUUUUUAUUUUUGUUUUCCUCUUUUUUUCUUUUUUUUUCUUUGGCCUGUCUUUUUCUUUUUCUUUUUCUUUUGGCCUUUCUUUUCUUUUUCUUUUUGGGGACAAUGCUCUAAUAAUGAUGAUCAUCACACUUUUAUUGAUUUACAACUCAUGAAUUACAACUCAAAACUAGAACAAGAUAUGACUCUAUAUGAAUGCCUCCGGCGGUGUACCGGGAUGUGCAAUAAAUCAAGAGUGACAUGUAUGAAAAUUAUGCAUGGUGGCUUUGCCACAAAUACGAUGUCAAAUACAUGAUCAUGCAAGGCAAUAUGACAAUAAUGAUGCGUGUCAUGAUGACGGAAUAGUGGAAAGUUGCAUGGCAAUAUAUCUCGGAAUGGCUAUGGAAAUGCCAUAAUAGGUAGGUAUGGUGGCUGUUUUGAGGAAGAUAUAAGGAGGUUUAUGUGUGAUAGAGCGUAUCAUAUCACGGGGUUUGGAUGCACCGGCGAAGUUUACACCAACUCUCAAGGUGAGAAAGGGCAAUGCACGGUACCGAAGAGGCUAGCAAUGAUGGAAAGGUAAGAGUGCGUAUAAUCCAUAGUCUCAACAUUAGUCAAAAGAACUCAUAUACUUAUUGCAAAAAUCUACAAGUCAGCAAAAACCAAGCACUACACGCAUGCUCCUAGAGGGAUAGAUUGGUAGGAAAAGGCCAUCACUCGUCCUCGACCGCCACUCAUAAGGAUGCACAAUCCAAGGACACCUCAUGUUUCAAAUUUGUUACACAACUUUAACCAUACGUGCAUGCUACAGGACUUGCUAACUUCAACACAAGCAUUCUUUAAAUUCAUAAUCACCAAACUAGCAUGACUUUAAUAUCACUACCUCCAUAUCUCAAAACAAUUAUCAAGUAUCAAAUUGAUCAUAGCAUCCAAUUCACUUCCUAUGAUAGUUUUUAUUAUACCCAACUUGGAUGCCCACCAUUCUAGGACCAAUUUUAUAACCAUAGAAAAUACCAUGCUGUUCUAAGAUACUCUCAAAAUAAUAUAAGUGAAGCAUGAGAGACUAACAAUUUCUACAAAAUUAAUCCACCGUCGUGCUCUAAAAGAUAUAAGUGAAGCACCAGAGCAAAAACUUUCUAGCUCAAAAGAUAUAAGUGAAGCACAUAGAGUAUUCUAAUAAAUUCCAAUCAAGUGGGCUUCUUCCAAAAGGUGUGUACAUCAAGGAUGAUUGUGGUAAACUGAAAAGAAAAUACUAAUAUCAUACAAGACGCUCCAAGCAAAACACAUAUCAUGUGGCGAAUAAAAAUAUAGCUCCAAGUAAAGUUACCAAUGAACAAAGACGAAAGAGGGGAUGCCUUCUGGGGGCAUCCCCAAGCUUAGGCUUUUGGCUAUUCUUGAAUAUCUUGGGUUGCCAUGGGCAUCCCCAAGCUUAGGCUUUUGCCACUCUUUAUUCCAUAGUCCAUCAAAUCUUUACCCAAAACUUGAAAACUUCACAACACAAAACUCAACAGGAAAUCUCAUAAGCUCCGCUAGUGAAAGAAAGCAAAACCACCACAUAAGGUACUGUAAUGAACUAAUUCUUUAUUUAUAUUGAUGUUAAACCUACUAUAUUCCAAGUUCUCUAUGGUUUAUACCACUUAAUACUAGCCACUUUGCCACUAGGUGGAGAUGCCCAUGGUAGGCAUCCAUGGCAGGUUUGAACUACUUCAGACAUAAUAUGCAAGUUGCGACACAUCUAUCCAUUCAUUGACCUUUUUUGACUGAGGAAACUUUAGAAAAAGCAAAAUUUGUCGAAAACCCAAGCAACAUGGAUUGGUGCCUUGAAUUGGUCAUACAAGACCAUGGAAAAAAUACUGGGGGCAUGGAUGCCUUUCUUUGGUAUUCCAGCUGCUCGCAAAUGUUGGUUUUUUUUCAAAAAUGUCCAAAAAAACACCAUGUUCAACAUACGUGUCCGAGUAGUCAUCAAUGCCAGUUUUGAAGCAAAAAUGUAUUUAAAAUCAUAAUUUACAUAUACUAAAGCUGUCAUUUUAAGUUUCUAACAUAACUAAUAAAUACAAAAUGAUAGAAUUGAAAAAAAAGCUUUUUAAAGCAUUUAAUAAAUAUAUAAAUGAAAAAAGAAUUUUAAAUCACAAUUUCAAAUAGUGAUUUAAAACUGUUAUUUUGGAAUUUCAAUUUUUUGAAUAGGUUUAAAAAAAAUAAAGUUUAAAAAGGAGAAAAGAUAAAUUAACGAAAAAAGAGAAAAACCAAAAAAUAGAAAAGAAAAAAAAAUCUUAGGCGGUUCCCAACUAAGCGACGGCAUCGCUCCUGUCGGGCGACUAUUGGAAUUUGUUCCAAAUUUUAAAAAUGUUCUCAUUUUCAAAAUAAUUGUUCACAAAUUGAAAAAUUGUUCGGGAAAAUUUAGAACACUUUUUUGAUAUCAUUUAUUUAGUCUCAUUUCUAAAAAUAUAUAAUUUAAUAUUUUGUCCGUGCUCUCAGAAAAUGUUUGUUUUCACAAUUGUGUUUGUGCUUUUGGAAAAAUUAUUCACAUUUUGACAUUCUGAACAAUUUUUCCAAGACACAAACAUUUUCUGAAAUUACCUUAUAAUUUCUGAAAAUGCAAAUAUUUUUUAAUUUAUGAACAAAAUUUGGAAAUAACAAACCGUUUGAACUUUUGAACAACAUUUGAAAGCUCGGCCAUUAUUGAAAAAGAAUGUAACUUGAAAAGGAAAAUAAACAAAUAAAAAGAUAUUAUGGAAAAAAGACCAGUUCACAAAGUGUUACUAAAAUCUUUAAUAAAAUUCCCAGCCAGUGCAUUACUUAAGGUGUCUAGCUUUAGAUCGUUCACUAAAGGCAUGCUGUGGCAGUGGUUGUGGACGUAGUUAAUGUUUUAAGUGGUCUUGAGUUUGAUUCCCAGCUGUUGCGAAUUUUCUGCUAUUUUUCAUUGCAUGCCACCACAAAUGGGCUGGCCCAAGUAAGCUGCCCGGUGUAUACGUUACUAUAAAAGUAGAUACAAAUUGUGAAAGGGGGGCUGUACCAAAGCGGACUGAUAUUAAAACAACAUAUUAGUGCAACUGCAAAUUCAGUAACUUGUCACUCAACACCAGAAUUUCUAAAACGUAAGCAGUCAUACGCCGAAUCAUGAAUGCAAAGCUUCUCUUUGCUCUGAAACUGUUGCGAUGAAUAUUGAACUCGGGGGCAUACAUGUAUUUGUUCCCACAGAAAAUUUAAUUUCACAGUUUUGACAUACGCCCUAUCUAUGACGCGUUGGUCCAAACCCACAAUCAUAGACAGGGGCAAUGUGUUUUACUUUGCAGGGGAUAUCCCAUGGAAAGAAGCAACAUUACAUAUCAUAGCACCUUCUUCGCAAUAAACAUACUAUUUCUUAUGAUCCCCAGAAAAGAACACCAAUUUAAAAGGAGUGUUGCUACGCAUACCACACUAUGCGUCCGACUUUCAUAAGACAAUGAGGAUCGAGCUGCCUUUGCAUUGGAGUAAACUGGUAACUGUAGCAUGAGAAUUGAUUAGUCAUUGUACUAUGAUCGUAUCAAUAAGUAUCCUACGCACAUGUGAUGCUUGUACAAGCCUGCAACCCUGCUUCUAACUAGACUACCACAAUUUGCACAAUUUCGCAGUUAC